rnacentral:rRNA from 1 species
UACGUAGGUGGCAAGCGUUGUCCGGAUUUACUGGGCGUAAAGGGCGCGCAGGCGGCUCAUCAAGUCUGGGGUGAAAUCUCCCGGCUCAACCGGGAGGGGUCUCUGGAUACUGAUGGGCUUGAGGAAAGCAGAGGAAAGCGGAAUUCCCGGUGUAGCGGUGAUAUGCGUAGAUAUCGGGAGGAACACCAGUGGCGAAGGCGGCUUUCUGGGCUUUUCCUGACGCUGAGGCGAGAAAGCGUGGGGAGCGAACCGG